GAUGAAGAACGUAGCAAAUGCGAUACUUGGUGUGAAUUGCAGAAUCCCGUGAACCAUCGAGUCUUUGAACGCAAGUUGCGCCCGAAGCCAUUAGGCCGAGGGCACGCCUGCCUGGGCGUCACACGUCGUUGCCCCCCCAUCUACUCCUUCGGGAUUGCGGGGGGCGGAUGAUGGCCUCCCGUGCGCCUCGUCGCGCGGUUGGCAUAAAUGCCAAGUCCUCGGCGACACACGCCACGACAAUCGGUGGUUGCGAAACCUCGGUUGCCCGUCGUGUGCGGUCGUCGCGCAUCGAGGGCUCGAAAAAAUUGCCGGGCUCCGGCUCGGCUUUCAACGCGACCCCAGGUCAGGCGGGGUUACCCGCUGAAUUUAAGCAUAUCAAUAAGCGGAGGA
rnacentral:misc_RNA from 1 species